GUGAAUAACCCUACAAUGGCCUGAGCAGCAGUCUAAUAUUGAACUUGGAAUCAGAAGCAUAAUAUUCCAUUGAAUGGAUGCAUCAUAAUUUAUUCGACC